AUGACUAGGGAUAACCUUAGAAAGAGACACAUCAUCAAACCCCUUGAUUGUGUUUACUGCUUGGAACAAGAGUCUUGUUAUCACCUAUUUUUUGAAUGUAUAGUUGCUAAACAUCUCUGGGCGGAAUAUUUCUCUAGUCAGAUUGGCUCAUCCUUCGAAUAUGUCGCCAGAUUCUGGAUUGCUACCAAAAAUUGCUCAGUUUUAAAUACUAUUAGCUCAGCUGUCCUUUGGUGCCUCUGGAAAUAUAGGAAUGCUAUGUUUUUCAGUAACACCUCCUGGAUUUCCAUUCCGCGGGUCUUGAGGUUGAUCAGGAACAUGGUGAGGAACUGGGUGAUUCUCUCCUCCGGAUCGGACAAGGACAAGUUGAUGAGCUUCGUGGAAACCCUAACAAGAUCCCUCCAGAAACCAUUGGUGAUCAAUUGUGGCUGA
rnacentral:rRNA from 1 species